rnacentral:rRNA from 1 species
AANGGGCCACUAAGGUACCCAUAUAAGUCGACGAUGAACCCCAGCUUGCUGGGUGGAUUAGUGGCGAACGGGUGAGUAACACGUGAGUAACCUGCCCUUAACUCUGGGAUAAGCCUGGGAAACUGGGUCUAAUACCGGAUAGGAGCGUCCACCGCAUGGUGGGUGUUGGAAAGAUUUAUCGGUUUUGGAUGGACUCGCGGCCUAUCAGCUUGUUGGUGAGGUAAUGGCUCACCAAGGCAACGACGGGUAGCCGGCCUGAGAGGUUGACCGGCUA